GCAGUCGAGCGAGGCCCUUCCUUCGGGAAGGUGUCCGAGCGGCGAACGGGUGAGUAACACGUGGGCAACCUGCCCCUAGCACUGGGAUAACCCCGGGAAACCGGGGCUAAUACCGGAUAUCACUUCAGAAGGCAUCUUCUGUUGUUGAAAGGGUUUACUGGCUAGGGAUGGGCCCGCGGCCUAUCAGCUUGUUGGUGGGGUAACGGCCCACCAAGGCGACGACGGGUAGCCGGCCUGAGAGGGCGACCGGCCACACUGGGACUGAGACACGGCCCAGACUCCUACGGGAGGCAGCAGUGGGGAAUAUUGCACAAUGGGCGAAAGCCUGAUGCAGCGACGCCGCGUGAGGGAUGACGGCCUUCGGGUUGUAAACCUCUUUCAGCUCCGACGAAGCGAAAGUGACGGUAGGAGCAGAAGAAGCACCGGCCAACUACGUGCCAGCAGCCGCGGUAAUACGUAGGGUGCAAGCGUUGUCCGGAAUUAUUGGGCGUAAAGAGCUCGUAGGCGGCUUGUCACGUCGACUGUGAAAACCUGGGGCUUAACCCCGGGCCUGCAGCCGAUACGGGCAGGCUAGAAUUCGGUAGGGGAGACUGGAAUUCCUGGUGUAGCGGUGAAAUGCGCAGAUAUCAGGAGGAACACCGGUGGCGAAGGCGGGUCUCUGGGCCGAUAUUGACGCUGAGGAGCGAAAGCGUGGGGAGCGAACAGGAUUAGAUACCCUGGUAGUCCACGCCGUAAACGGUGGGAACUAGGUGUGGGCCACAUUCCACGUGGUCUGUGCCGCAGCUAACGCAUUAAGU
rnacentral:rRNA from 1 species